CUGCCGCGUGAGUGAAGAAGGCCUUCGGGUUGUAAAGCUCUUUCGGCCGGGAAGAAAUCGUGGUCUCUAACAUAGGCCAUGGAUGACGGUACCGGACUAAGAAGCACCGGCUAACUACGUGCCAGCAGCCGCGGUAAUACGUAGGGUGCGAGCGUUAAUCGGAAUUACUGGGCGUAAAGCGUGCGCAGGCGGUUUUGUAAGACAGAUGUGAAAUCCCCGGGCUUAACCUGGGAACUGCGUUUGUGACUGCAAGGCUAGAGUACGGCAGAGGGGGGUGGAAUUCCUGGUGUAGCAGUGAAAUGCGUAGAGAUCAGGAGGAACACCGAUGGCGAAGGCAGCCCCCUGGGCCUGUACUGACGCUCAUGCACGAAAGCGUGGGGAGCAAACAGGAUUAGAUACCCUGGUAGUCCACGCCCUAAACGAUGUCGACUAGUCGUUCGGAGCAGCAAUGCACUGAGUGACGCAGCUAACGCGUGAAGUCGACCGCCUGGGGAGUACGGCCGCAAGGUUAAAACUCAAAGGAAUUGACG
rnacentral:rRNA from 1 species